rnacentral:rRNA from 1 species
CGUGCAGGCGGUUCGUUAAGUCGUGCGUGAAAGCUCCCUGGCUCAACCGGGAGAGGUCGUACGAAACUGAUGGACUUGAGGGCAGCAGAGGAGUGUGGAAUUCCGGGUGUAGUGGUGAAAUGCGUAGAUAUCCGGAGGAACACCAGUGGCGAAGGCGGCACUCUGGGCUGAACCUGACGCUAAGACGCGAAAGCAUGGGUAGCGAACG